AAUAAUGCACUCACAUAUUAUUUUUUUUGGGUCUUGUAAUGGCGAAGAAAGUCGGGUAGUGAAGAAGAAGAAGAAGAGACUAACAACUGGUACCCGCCUCCGCCUCCGCCUCCGCCAUUAGCAGCAUAAUACUCUAUCACUAUGUAGUACCGGAAAAAGGGUAAACUUUGGACGGAGCGGGGUCAAACAGAUUACAAAUAUAGAUGGAAGGAGAAAGACGAUAUCGGCUUUCUUCUCCGACUGCUUUCCUUGGGUGUGUGUGGAUCGUGGAACCAACUGGAUGGGUAUGGGCCUUGCGUAAUACUUCGUGUGUUUAUCUAUUUGUUACGGAGGCCCAAGGGCUACAGUAAGAUAUGGCCUGAUGAUCAAUAUGCCCGCAAAUAUGAUCACAAAUUAAUCAUUAUGCCACUACACUCAGAGUUCUGAUCCCCUGACGAGGAGCCAGAUAGACUAGAAAUCAGCAGCGAAGGCAGAAGCAGAAAAAAAUCCAAGCAGGAAGAGGAUUUUCAGCAGCAGUAAGUCAGCAACCAGAGGCAGAUUCGUUGUGGCAAACAGAGAGGGAGAAAGAGGAAAUAUCCUACAAAGAAAAGGACAAGGAAAGUCCACUAUGAGGUGACCAUCGGUCAAUGCAAGGUACCUGAUAAAAUGAUCACCUCUAUGGUAUUUUCUGUAUGUAACACAAUGUUGUAGAUACCGAAGUUGUAUUGAUUAGGAUACAGAUGAUCCUAAUUCAAUUA